UCCGGCUUGUCACCGGCAGUUCCUUCAGAGUGCCCGGCCGAACCGCUGGCAACUGAAGGUGAGGGUUGCGCUCGUUGCGGGACUUAACCCAACAUCUCACGACACGAGCUAACGACAGCCAUGCAGCACCUGUCUCACGGUUCCCGAAGGCACGCCCCGAUCUCUCAGGGCUUCCGUGGAUGUCAAGGCCAGGUAAGGUUCUUCGCGUUGCAUCGAAUUAAACCACAUACUCCACCGCUUGUGCGGGCCCCCGUCAAUUCCUUUGAGUUUCAACCUUGCGGUCGUACUCCCCAGGCGGGGUACUUCCUGCGUUAGCGCCGGCACCCAGAGGGUCGCUCCCCCAGGCACCUAGUACCCAUCGUUUACGGCGUGGACUAC
rnacentral:misc_RNA from 1 species